GAUGAACGCUGGCGGCGUGCCUAAUACAUGCAAGUCGAGCGAACAGACGAGGAGCUUGCUCCUCUGACGUUAGCGGCGGACGGGUGAGUAACACGUGGAUAACCUACCUAUAAGACUGGGAUAACUUCGGGAAACCGGAGCUAAUACCGGAUAAUAUAUUGAACCGCAUGGUUCAAUAGUGAAAGACGGUUUUGCUGUCACUUAUAGAUGGAUCCGCGCCGCAUUAGCUAGUUGGUAAGGUAACGGCUUACCAAGGCGACGAUGCGUAGCCGACCUGAGAGGGUGAUCGGCCACACGGGAACUGAGACACGGUCCAGACUCCUACGGGAGGCAGCAGUAGGGAAUCUUCCGCAAUGGGCGAAAGCCUGACGGAGCAACGCCGCGUGAGUGAUGAAGGUCUUCGGAUCGUAAAACUCUGUUAUUAGGGAAGAACAAAUGUGUAAGUAACGAUGCACGUCUUGACGGUACCUAAUCAGAAAGCCACGGCUAACUACGUG
rnacentral:rRNA from 1 species